UACAGAGGUCUCAAGCGUUGUUCGGAUUCAUUGGGCGUAAAGGGUGCGUAGGUGGCGCGGUAAGUCGGGUGUGAAAUUUCGGAGCUUAACUCCGAAACUGCAUUCGAUACUGCCGUGCUUGAGGACUGGAGAGGAGAGUGGAAUUUACGGUGUAGCAGUGAAAUGCGUAGAUAUCGUAAGGAAGACCAGUGGCGAAGGCGGGUCUCUGGACAGUUCCUGACGCUGAGGCACGAAGGCCAGGGGAGCAAACGGG
rnacentral:rRNA from 1 species